rnacentral:rRNA from 1 species
UACAGAGGGUGCGAGCGUUAAUCGGAAUUACUGGGCGUAAAGCGUGCGUAGACGGUUAUGUAAGUCGGAUGUGAAAGCCCCGGGCUCAACCUGGGAAUUGCAUUCGAGACUGCAUAGCUAGGAUGCGGAAGAGGGAAGUGGAAUUUCCGGUGUAGCGGUGAAAUGCGUAGAGAUCCGGAAGAACACCAGUGGCGAAGGCGGCCCGCUGGGCAGUGGCUGACGCUGAGGCGCGACAGCGUGGGGAGCAAACAGG